UAUUUAUUUCUUACUGAUAUUUUAUUUCUUACUGACAUUUUCUUUCUUUCUUUCUUACUGGUAUUUUAAAGAAGCCAGUUUGAGCCCCACCCUCACAUUCCUAAUGAGGAACUUUCACCUCUAUUUCCCAGUAAAUGACAUAGUCCUCUGUGAACUCUUGCUGAACUGAUUUUAUGAGCACACUGUUCUCAUUCGUUGAGAACUGGCAAGGCGACCCAAAUGGGGCCAGUGUGGGCAGGUGAGGCUGCCGCGGCAGGUGACAGCUUUCAGGGCUCUGGCCCGAGGCCGGCGCCGCCUCUGCUGACGUGUGCUGACUGGGCUGGCUGUUUACUACAUUGCUUUUAACAGCUUCACUUCCAGUAAACCUGAGAGCACGCCCCACCACCCUCAUUUACAGCACCCGGCGUAUCACAGGGCGGCAUGUGGGCCAAGAAAGGGAGAGUCUUGGAAAGGUGAGGCUAGCUGGCAGCGGGCACAUCCCCUGAUGUGAAGAAAGAGUCUGGGUAAACCAGAUGGCCGCUUCGGCGCUGCCCAGGGACACGCUGCAGGCUGCUCCUUGGAAGUGGAUCCUCUGUAGAGGUUCAUGAUGUGUGGUGAAUUUUAAUUCUUCUGAAGCCCCGGUUUGAGUCUCAGCUUCUGCAGGGAUGGCCCCCAGAGGUGGUUCCAGCUUCCACCCAACAUCUGGCCUGACUGUGGCUUCAUCGUCCAGUGCUUGCUCCUGAACUUCUCAUAUGACUGAAUGAGCACUUUUUGGUGAUGUGGUGUUCUAAGGUGAUAUGAACAAAUACUAUGGACUGAAUGUUAGUGUCUCCCCAAAAUUCAUAUGUUGAAGCCCUAACCCCCUAUGUGAUGGUCUGAAGAGGUAGAGCCUUUGGGAGGUGAUUAGGGUUAGAUGAGGUCUUGAGGAUGGGGCCCUCAUGAUGGGAUUAGUGUCCUUAUAAGAAAAGGAGGAGAUGUCAGAGCUUCCUUUCUCCCCCAUCUGAGAAUACAGCAGGAAGAUGGCCAUCUGCGAUCCAGAAGCAAACCCUCACCAACAACUGCAUCUGCGGGCACCUUGGUCUUGGAUUUCAGCCUCCGGAGAAAUAAAUGUCCGUUGUUUAAGCCACUUAGAUAUUUUGUCAUAGCAGCUUGAGCUACGAUAACACAUAUGAGGCUUCUUGUAGUCCUUGUGAUGCAAACACACAAAUGUCAGUUAGCUACCAUUUCUAUUUUUUCUUUUCUGAACAUUUAAGAAAUGAAUUACAUGCAAAUGAUUUAAAUACAAUAAAACGCACAGGUCUUCAGCAUUUAGUUCAGUAAGUUUGAACAAUUGUGCACCUGUGUAACCAUCACCUCCGUCAAGACUUAGGGCAUAUCCACCAGCAGAACAUUUCCUUCUGCCCCUUCCCAGUUAAUUAUCGGCCCACCCUCACAACCUUGGAGGCAGCAGAUCUCCAGGAGGCAACUCUCACCAUAGAUUAGCUUGGUCUGUUCUAGAGUUUCAAAUCCAUAGAUUCUUCUUUGUGUGUUUGACCUCUGUCACUCCAUGUGAUGUUUGGAGAUAAUUACUAGUACAUGUUGUUGAGCCUAUGAGCAAUCUCUCCCUUUUUAUUGCUGAGUAGCAGUCCAUGUAUGGACAUACCACAAUUUGUGAAUCCACCCUCUAGUUGAUGGGCAUGUAUUUGUUUGGCUAUUGUGUAUAUUUUGUCUGUAAAAAUUCUUGCAUAUGUCUUUCUGUCGACAUGUUUCAUUUCUGUUGGGUAAUGCCUGGAACUGGAACUGUUGAGUCAUAGAAGAGACACAUAACUAAAUGUGGAAGGAGCUGCCAGACAGAUCCCUAACGUGGUGGUACCAUUUCACUCUCCCCGAUGGAGCGAUGCGUAAUAGUUCCAGUUGCUCUGCAUCUUGCCAGCAUUUGGUGUUGUCAAUCGUUUUUUAUUUUAGCUACUGUGGUGGGUGUGAAAUGGCAUCUCACCGUCGCUUUAGUUUUCACUUCUCUGAUGACAAAUGCCAUUGAGCAACUUUUCAUGUGCUUUCUGGCCUUCAUGUAUCUCCUUUGGUGACAUGUCUAUUCAAGUAUUUUGCCCAUGUUUAAAAUUAAGUUAUUUAGUUUUUCAUGUUCAUUUGUAGGAGUUCUAUUUAUUUUUGUAUUUGUCUCUUCUCCCUUUUACUCCCUAAAUUUCUUGAGAUAUUUUGUCAGUUCUGUCUACAGUGCCCGCCACAAUUCUAUGUAACUAGCAGGUACUUAAUAAAUAUUUAUUGGAUUAUCA